rnacentral:tRNA from 2 species
GCCUUUAUAGUUCAACGGUAGAGCAAAAUAUUCAGAAUAUAUUGAUGUUCAAUUCAUCUUGAGGGCU